rnacentral:rRNA from 1 species
AUUGAACGCUGGCGGCAGGCCUAACACAUGCAAGUCGAGCGGAUGAAGAGAGCUUGCUUCUCGAUUCAGCGGCGGACGGGUGAGUAAUGCCUAGGAAUCUGCCUGAUAGUGGGGGACAACGUUUCGAAAGGAACGCUAAUACCGCAUACGUCCUACGGGAGAAAGCAGGGGACCUUCGGGCCUUGCGCUAUCAGAUGAGCCUAGGUCGGAUUAGCUAGUUGGUGAGGUAAUGGCUCACCAAGGCGACGAUCCGUAACUGGUCUGAGAGGAUGAUCAGUCACACUGGAACUGAGACACGGUCCAGACUCCUACGGGAGGCAGCAGUGGGGAAUAUUGGACAAUGGGUGAAAGCCUGAUCCAGCCAUGCCGCGUGUGUGAAGAAGGUCUUCGGAUUGUAAAGCACUUUAAGUUGGGAGGAAGGGUUGUAGAUUAAUACUCUGCAAUUUUGACGUUACCGACAGAAUAAGCACCGGCUAACUCUGUGCCAGCAGCCGCCGUAACAC